CCUACGGGUGGCAGCAGUGAGGAAUAUUGGUCAAUGGGCGAAAGCCUGAACCAGCCAAGUAGCGUGAAGGAUGACUGCCCUAUGGGUUGUAAACUUCUUUUAUAUGGGAAUAAAGUGUUCCACGUGUGGGGUGUUGUAUGUACCAUAUGAAUAAGGAUCGGCUAACUCCGUGCCAGCAGCCGCGGUAAUACGGAGGAUCCGAGAGUUUUCCGGAUUUAUUGGGGUUAAAGGGAGGGUAGGGGGAUAGGUAAGUCAGUUGUGAAAGUGUGGGGCUCAACCGUAAAAUUGCAGUUGAAACUGGCAGUCUUGAGUACAGUAGAGGUGGGCGGAAUGCGUGGUGUAGCGGUGAAAUGCUUAGAUAUCACGAAGAACUCCGAUUGCGAAGGCAGCUUACUGGAGUGCAACUGACACUGAGGCUCGAAAGUGUGGGGAUCAAACAGGAUUAGAUACCCUUGUAGUC
rnacentral:rRNA from 1 species